rnacentral:rRNA from 1 species
UUGUCGUCAGCUCGUGUCGUGAGAUGUUGGGUUAAGUCCCGCAACGAGCGCUAACCCCUAUUGUUAGUUGCCAUCAUUCAGUUGGGCACUCUAGCGAGACUGCCGGUAAUAAACCGGAGGAAGGUGGGGAUGACGUCAAAUCAUCAUGCCCCUUAUGACCUGGGCUACACACGUGCUACAAUGGUUGGUACAACGAGUUGCGAGUCGGUGACGGCGAGCUAAUCUCUUAAAGCUAAUCUCAGUUCGGAUUGUAGGCUGCAACUCGCCUACAUGAAGUCGGAAUCGCUAGUAAUCGCGGAUCAGCACGCCGCGGUGAAUACGUUCCCGGGCCUU